rnacentral:rRNA from 1 species
UGGGGAAUUUUGGACAAUGGGGGCAACCCUGAUCCAGCAACGCCGCGUGAGGGAUGAAGGUCUUCGGAUUGUAAACCUCUUUUGUGAGGGAAGAAAAGAUGCGUGAAUAGCGCGUAUUGACGGUACUUCAUGAAUAAGCCACGGCUAACUUCGUGCCAGCAGCCGCGGUAAUACGAAGGUGGCAAGCGUUACUCGGAAUUACUAGGCGUAAAGCGCAGGUAGGUGGUUGGAUAAGUCUGUUAUGAAAUCUCCCGGCUUAACCGGGAGCGGUUAAUGGAUACUGUCCGGCUCGAGUGUGGGAGAGGUAACUGGAAUUCCAGGUGUAGCGGUGAAAUGCGUAGAUAUCUGGAGGAACACCAAUGGCGAAAGCAGGUUACUGGCCCAAUACUGACACUGAGCUGCGAAAGCUAGGGGAGCAAACAGG